rnacentral:tRNA from 1 species
GCCUGGCUGGCUCAGUCAGUAGAGCAUGUAACUCUUGAUCUCAGUGCUAUGAGUUCAAGCCCCAUGUUGGGUA